AGAGUUUGAUCCUGGCUCAGGACGAACGCUGGCGGCGUGCUUAACACAUGCAAGUCAAGGGGAAAAUUUUGCUUCGGCGAGAUGAGUAUACUGGCGGACGGGUGAGUAACGCGUAGGCAACCUGCCCUGGUGAGAGGGAUAACCCAGCGAAAGUUGGACUAAUACCUCAUAAUACAUUUAUAUCACAUGAUAUUAAUGUCAAAGGUUUGCUACUUGUAGCAAAUGCAAAAGGAUGGGCCUGCGUUCCAUUAGUUAGUUGGUAGGGUAACGGCUUACCAAGGCGACGAUGGAUAGCUGGUUUGAGAGAGUGAUCAGCCACACUGGGACUGAGAUACGGCCCAGACUCCUACGGGAGGCAGCAGUGAGGAAUAUUGCGCAAUGGAGGAAACUCUGACGCAGCAACGCCGCGUGGGGGAUGAAGCUUUAUGGAGUGUAAACCCCUGUAAGUAGGGACGAAUGGUAUAUAUUCGAAUAGGGUAUAUAAUUGACGGUACCUACAGAGUAAGCUCCGGCUAACUCCGUGCCAGCAGCCGCGGUAAUACGGGGGGAGCGAGCGUUGUCCGGAAUUACUGGGCGUAAA
rnacentral:rRNA from 1 species